rnacentral:rRNA from 1 species
AGCUCCAAUAGCGUAUAUUAAAGUUGUUGCAGUUAAAAAGCUCGUAGUUGAAUUUCUGGUACGCUGCGCCUGGCCCGCCUAGGUUACUAGUGCGAGUGCCGGUGCGCGGCUGCCAUCCUUCUAGGGAACGUGGUUGCUCUUCAUUGGGCGGCUACGGAAUCUAGAUCUUUUACUUUGAAAAAAUUAGAGUGUUUAAAGCAGGCUUGCGCUAUGAAUACAUUAGCAUGGAAUAAUAAUUUAGGACUUUGGUUCUAUUUUGUUGGUUAUAGGACUGAAGUAAUGAUUGAUAGGGAUAGUUGGGGGUGCUAGUAUUCAGCGGCCAGAGGUGAAAUUCUUGGAUUCGCUGAAGACUAACUUAUGCGAAAGCAUUCACCAAGGAUGUCUUCUUUA